rnacentral:rRNA from 1 species
UACGAAGGGGGCUAGCGUUGCUCGGAAUCACUGGGCGUAAAGCGCACGUAGGCGGACUCUUAAGUCGGUGGUGAAAUCCUGGAGCUCAACUCCAGAACUGCCUUCGAUACUGAGAGUCUCGAGUCCGGGGAGAGGUGAGUGGAACUGCGAGUGUAGAGGUGAAAUUCGUAGAUAUUCGCAAGAACACCAGUGGCGAAGGCGGCUCACUGGCCCGGUACUGACGCUGAGGUGCGAAAGCGUGGGGAGCAAACAGGG